GCCUGGAUGGCUUAGUUGGUUAAGCAUCUGACUUUGGCUCAGGUCAUGAUCUCCCAGCUGGUGAGUUUGUGCUCGUUGUCGGGCUCCAUGCU
rnacentral:tRNA from 1 species